UCCGUAGGCGGGCAGCUCAGUCAGUGGUGAAAGUUUGCAGCUCAACUGUAAAAUUGCCAUUGAUACUGGUUGUCUUGAAUUAAUGUGAAGUGGUUAGAAUAUGUAGUGUAGCGGUGAAAUGCAUAGAUAUUACAUAGAAUACCAAUUGCGAAGGCAGAUCACUAACAUUAUAUUGACGCUGAUGGACGAAAGCGUGGGGAGCGAACAGGAUUAGAUACCCUGGUAGUCC
rnacentral:rRNA from 1 species